UAUUUCUAGAAGCUCGAUGAGUAAAAAGUAGCCUCUUCGUUGGUUUGCUGAAUGCAAUGACUGUCAGCUAAAGUGAAUACGGAAAUAUUCGCAUGAAGAAUUCUGCUUGAAGGUCGUUGCUUGAAGAACGCCAUCCGAAGCAGACUGUCCGAGAAACACUGCUUUAUAAGAAACGCUGCCAGAGCAACGUAGCUGCACAGUGAAUGAAAAAUGUUGUUUGUUUUGCCUCUGUGAACAGUUUUGCUGAUUUCAAGAUAACAUAUUCAAGUUAAUGCCCACUGUUAUGCUUCUCUUUCGACCUUUCUUUACAUCUACGCUGUUCAUCUAUCAACUCUGACAUGCAAUUUCCUGCAUUAACUAAACAGGAACACGAAUUAUUGAAUCCCGAAUGGGGACUAGAUUUUACUCACCAAACUAAAAUGAAAAUGAAAAACAUUUAUGCUAUUUUUAAGCGACUAACGGACUUCAGUCGUGUUUUCAGUUAACAGUCAGAUUAUUUUGGUAUUUAGAAACUGAUGUUAUAUAACAAAAUUUUGUUGUUUUAAACUGACACGAUUAUACGCUUCUUUAUAUUUUACUUUUAAAACUUGGACUGAGUGAAACUUCCACAAUAAUUUUGACUGAGUAAACAACAAUUAUUUAAUAUUAAGGCCACUUCAAGAGCACUUCCUUCAUGUGUUAUGAGCAGCGCUGCAGGUUUAACUGAUGGAAACAGCUGCUAUUCAUCAAAUGACAAGCCAUAGAACUUGUGUAUGGGAUGUGAUGGAAUUUACAAUUAUUUCAAAGAUGUUUCAGUUUUAGUUCUUUGUUUUGUCUUUCGUUCUGAGUUUUUUUUUUCUCCCUCAAAUUACUGUUAAAUGUAUGGUUAUUUCCGUUGUUAACAUGUUUUCGUUUAUGAUUAUGCGAAUGAGGAGCAAUGAAAAAGCCGGAACACAAGAAUGGUAAACAACAGAACAAACAAAAAUAACGGUUUUGAUAUUGGGCGUUCUUAAAGUCGCAACAGUUAUUGCAGAAACAAAUUUACUUUCUGAUUGUUUUUUUCACUCUUGUACUUCAAAAAGCUAAAAUUGUGAUGAUAGUACAUCUAUCCUAGUUUGGUGCCAAAAACUAGUGAUAAAUGAAUCAGCGAUAAAGGAAUCAUUUCCACGCACUUUGUAAUUGGAACGAAAAGUAGAUUCAUCGACACCAAAUUCCCGGCUUUCUGCAGCGAACCUUCCAGUCUAUUUUCUUGAUCCUCUCUACCUUUUCACCUAAAAAAAUCCGCUCACCUAUGUCGUUUGUUAGAAUUUGCUGCCAUGUUAUCACAGAUCAAACCGUGAUGAACGUAACAUGGCCCGCAAUGAGCGUACCGUGUUAUUUCGAAUCAGCGAUGAACAAAUGAUUGAUAAAUGAGACUAUAUUUUCGCCUCCUUCGCUUCGUCACUGAAAUACAAUCCACUCACAUGAAUGAUUCAGAACAGAUGAUAUGGUAUAAAUAGACGACGACUGUAGCAUCACAAGUUGAUGAUAAACAUUAAAACAUUCGUAUAAAACAGCCAUCAUCAAACAAUCAACAAAUUCAAGCGCUGAGAGGCGCUGAGGGACGCUGAGGGGCGCUGAGGGGCGCAGAGGGGCGCUGAGAGGCGGUUAAUAGACAGACGAAGCUCAAGGGAAUGCCAAAGGGGCGGAGCAAAACUAUGCGACAAAAAAAAUGUUUAUGUUUACAUAUCACCAAUAAUUAGAGGAAUGAGGCAUAAAGACAAACAUUGCCCAGAGUGAAAAAAAGAAUCUGCAGAAUAUGAAAGGCAAAGUACGACUAGAGAACCAACCGACCGACCAACCAACAUUCAUAUCGGUUAUUAUUAAGUAGAGAUUGUCUCACCUUCUAAAAGUUCAUAUAAUUUAUGUCAUACUACAAUUUUCCUUCUUUUUUUUUUUUCAUUUAUUGAAUCGUGUGUAGAAUGUAUCAUAGAUUAAAACAGGUCAGUAAAUUAAUUAUAUCAUUAA
rnacentral:lncRNA from 1 species